UAUGUGAUCGUCUCUCGCAUAUCAAUAAGCGGAGGAAAAGAAACUAACAAGGAUUCCCCUAGUAACGGCGAGUGAAGCGGGAAGAGCUCAAAUUUGAAAUCUUAAAGGGUUUCCCUUUACGAAUUGUAGUUUAAAGAAGUGUUUUCUGUUGAGGUUUUGGUAAAAGUUCUUUGGAAUAGGACAUUCAUAGAGGGUGAGAAUCCCGUAUUUGACCUUUACUUUCAACUUUGUGAUACACUUUCAAAGAGUCGGAUUGUUUGGGAAUGCAGUCCAAAAUGGGUGGUAAAUUUCAUCUAAAGCUAAAUAUUGGCGAGAGACCGAUAGCGAACAAGUACCGUGAGGGAAAGAUGAAAAGAACUUUGAAAAGAGAGUUAAACAGUACGUGAAAUUGUCAAAAGGGAAGCGUUUGACACCAGUGUUGUUUUUCUGAAAAUCAAUUAAAGAACUGUUUAUGCUAAGCUGUUUAGACUUUAUCAGCUAACUGUUUAGUUUUGAGCUUUUCUUUAAUGCACUUUUCAGUUAACAAGUCAACAUCAAUUUCUUUUGCUGUAAAAAAGCUUGAGGAAGGUGGCUUGAGAUUCGUCUUAAGUGUUUAUAGCCUCUUGCCUAUGCAGUCGGAGAGAUUGAGGUCUGCAGCGUAGAUCCUUCGGGGCUAAAUGCAUUUGUGCUAAGUUAUAACAUUUUAUAGACAACUUGUUGACUAUGAUUUGUCUUGUAGCUUACUCGCUUAUGUUAUUUUACCUACGCUUAGGAUGUUGAGUAGCGACAUACGCAC
rnacentral:rRNA from 1 species